rnacentral:rRNA from 1 species
AUUGAACGCUGGCGGCAGGCCUAACACAUGCAAGUCGAGCGAGCGGCGGACGGGUGAGUAAUGCCUGGGAAACUGCCUGAUGGCGGGGGGUAACUACUGGAAACGGUAGCUAAUACCGCAUACCAUCAGAUGUGCCCAGAUGGGAUUCGCUGGUGGGUGGGGUAACGGCUCACCUAGGCGACGAUCCCUAGCUGGUCUGCGAGGAUGACCAGCCACACUGGAACUGAGACACGGUCCAGACUCCGACGGGAGGCAGCAGGGGGGAAUAUUGCACAAUGGGCGCAAGCCGGAUACAGCCAUGCCGCGUGUGUGAAGAGGGCCUUCGGGUUGUAAAGCACUUUCAUCGGGGAGGCGUUACCCGCAGAAGAAGCACCGGCUAACUCCGUGCCAGCAGCCGCGGUAAUUC